GUCCAGACUCCUACGGGAGGCAGCAGUGGGGGAUAUUGCACAAUGGGGGGAACCCUGAUGCAGCGACGCCGCGUGGGUGAAGGAGUAUUUCGGUAUGUAAAGCCCUAUCGGCAGGGAAGAAGCAAGACGGUACCUGACUAAGAAGCCCCGGCUAACUACGUGCCAGCAGCCGCGGUAAUACGUAGGGGGCAAGCGUUAUCCGGAUUUACUGGGUGUAAAGGGGGCGCAGACGGCGAUGCAAGCCAGGAGUGAAAGCCCGGGGCCCAACCCCGGGACUGCUCUUGGAACUGCGUGGCUGGAGUGCAGGAGGGGCAGGCGGAAUUCCUGGUGUAGCGGUGAAAUGCGUAGAUAUCAGGAGGAACACCGGUGGCGAAGGCGGCCUGCUGGACUGCAACUGACGUUGAGGCCCGAAAGCGUGGGGAGCAAACAGGAUUAGAUACCCCAGUAUUA
rnacentral:rRNA from 1 species